rnacentral:rRNA from 1 species
UGGGGUAUAUUGCACAAUGGGCGCAAGCCUGAUGCAGCCAUGCCGCGUGUGUGAAGAAGGCCUUUGGGUUGUAAAGCACUUUCAGCGGGGAGGAAGGCGGUGAGGUUAAUAACCUCAUCGAUUGACGUUACCCGCAGAAGAAGCACCGGCUAACUCCGUGCCAGCAGUCGCGGUAAUACGGAGGGGGCAAGCGUUCAUCGGAAUUACUGGGCGUAAAGCGCACGCAGGCGGUCUGUCAAGUCGGAUGUGAAAUCCCCGGGCUCGACCUGGGAACUGCAUUCGAGACUAGCAGGCUAGAGUCUUGUAGAGGGGGGUAGAAUUCCAGGUGUAGCGGUGAAAUGCGUAGAGAUCUGGGGGGAUACCGGUGGCGAAGGCGGCCCCCUGGACAAAGACUGACGCUCAGGUGCGAAAGCGUGGGGAGCGAACAGG